CUACGGGAGGCAGCAGUGAGAAUAUGGUCAAUGGCGAGAGCCUGAACCAGCCAAGUCGCGUGAGGGAAGACGGUCCUAUGGAUGUAAACCUCUUUGUCGGGGAGCAAGGUCAGGUACGUGUACCUGAUCUGAGAGUACCCGAAGAAAAAGCAUCGGCUAACUCCGUGCCAGCAGCCGCGGUAAUACGGAGGAUGCGAGCGUUAUCCGGAUUUAUUGGGUUUAAAGGGUGCGUAGGCGGACGGUCAAGUCAGCGGUAAAAUUGAGAGGCUCAACCUCUUCGAGCCGUUGAAACUGGCCAUCUUGAGUGGGCGAGAAGUAUGCGGAAUGCGUGGUGUAGCGGUGAAAUGCAUAGAUAUCACGCAGAACUCCGAUUGCGAAGGCAGCAUACCGGCGCCCUACUGACGCUGAAGCACGAAAGCGUGGGGAUCAAACAGGAUUAGAUACCCUGGUAGUCCACGCCGUAAACGAUGAAUGCUAAUUGUUCGGCGAGAAAGCUUGCUGAGUGAUAAAGCGAAAGCGUUAAGCAUUCCACCUGGGGAGUACGCCGGCAACGGUGAAGCUCAAAGGAAUUGACGGGGGCCCGCACAAGCGGAGGAACAUGUGGUUUAAUUCGAUGAUACGCGAGGAACCUUACCCGGGCUCAGACGUAGAUGGAAUACAGGUGAAAGCCUGUAGCCCUUCGGGGCUGUCUACGAGGUGCUGCAUGGUUGUCGUCAGCUCGUGCCGUGAGGUGUCGGCUUAAGUGCCAUAACGAGCGCAACCCCCAUCGACAGUUGCUAACAGGCAAAGCUGAGGACUCUGUCGAGACUGCCGGCGCAAGCUGUGAGGAAGGCGGGGAUGACGUCAAAUCAGCACGGCCCUUACGUCCGGGGCGACACACGUGUUACAAUGGCAGGUACAGCGGGAAGCCAUAUGGCGACAUAGAGCAGAACCCGAAAACCUGUCUCAGUUCGGAUUGGAGUCUGCAACUCGACUCCAUGAAGCUGGAUUCGCUAGUAAUCGCGCAUCAGCCAUGGCGCGGUGAAUACGUUCCCGGGCCUUGUACACACCGCCCGUCAAGCCAUGGAAGCCGGGAGUGCCUGAAGUGCGUGACCGCAAGGAGCGCCCU
rnacentral:rRNA from 1 species